AGGCAUAAUACAGCCGCCGGUGCCCUUCGGGGCCUAACAGGGAACACAGCGCAGAACAGAUUGCGCUGUGGCUGCCCCCGCAACUGUAUGCAGCGAGUCCGCCUGCGCUCCACGCCACUGGUUCAACCGGGAAGGCCGCGACGGACGACGACCUGCGAGCCAGGAGACCUGCCGGCGAGACUGUUCGUGC
rnacentral:ncRNA from 2 species